UACAGAGGUCUCAAGCGUUGUUCGGAAUCACUGGGCGUAAAGGGUGCGUAGGUGGCGUGGUAAGUCAGAUGUGAAAGCCCGGGGCUCAACCUCGGAAUUGCAUCCGAUACUACCAUGCUAGAGUACUGAAGGGGUGACUAGAAUUCUCGGUGUAGCAGUGAAAUGCGUAGAUAUCGAGAGGAAUACCAACGGCGAAGGCAGGUCACUGGGCAGUUACUGACACUGAGGCACGAAGGCCAGGGGAGCAAACGGG
rnacentral:rRNA from 1 species